rnacentral:rRNA from 1 species
UCCUACGGGAGGCAGCAGUGGGGAAUAUUGGACAAUGGGCGAAAGCCUGAUCCAGCCAUGCCGCGUGUGUGAAGAAGGUCUUCGGAUUGUAAAGCACUUUAAGUUGGGAGGAAGGGCAGUAAGCUAAUACCUUGCUGUUUUGACGUUACCGACAGAAUAAGCACCGGCUAACUUCGUGCCAGCAGCCGCGGUAAUA